GGAGGAGGAAGUGGUGGUGGAAGUGGCGGCGGUGAAGGAAGAAAAAGAAGAGGAGGAGGUAGUAAUGAUGGACUGGGGCGCUGUGUUAAUGUUGAUGCUCGUCUAAAAGAGCUCUGUGGAGUAGAAUCACACGAUCGAAUGUCUUUUCAAUGUGAUGAAAAUGGUGAGAUAUGGGAGAGAGUGGGCUUUGAGUGAAGGCUUCGAUACUUCAAAUCAUGACAGAGCCUUCAGACGAUGGUAAUUAUCUAGUAAGGGUCCAUGCCCAAGUAAUGACAAGAGAUGAUAGUUCUGGUGGUUGGGUUCCCUUGAGUGGAGGUGGCUUAGCAAAUGUCUCAGUGAAACGUAGGGUUACUUCUUCAGGAGUACAUCAAACAAACAAUACUAAUGGAACCACUAUUUCCACUACGACCAAUCCUACGUAUACUGUCUCUAGUGCAGGAGUUGGUCUUCAAAAUCAUGGAUCUUCCAAUAUCUCCUCACCUGGUGCUAACAAAAGAAAACAUGAAUAUCUUAUUUACGGGAAACGUAUUACCGAUCAAUCAGUUGUUCUUAGUUGUACAAUUAAAAAAGAUUUUGAAUAUAAUAAGGUAAUGCCAACUUUUCAUCACUGGCGGACAGGAGAAAAGAAGUUUGGUUUAACAUUUCAAACAGCAGCUGAUGCAAGAGCAUUUGAUAAAGGUGUUCGAACAGCAGUUGAAGAAUUAUUGGAAGGUCUGUCUGAUUUAACAUUGACCACCAAUAUUCCAGACGCUGGCGAUGAAGAUGUUUUCAUGACUUUAAAUUUGCCAGUGGAACCACCUGAGCCACGUUCGUCUUCAGAUACACCUCAUGGAAUUCGAGUGCCCAAUUAUUCCCAAUAUUCGGAGCUUCCUGAUUCACACCGAUCUAUUCACUAUAUUGGUGGUUCUAUCAUUAAAGCCCCACCGUCACAACAUCCUUUGGCACCUGCCACGGACAUUGGAUCAGAUAAUUAUCCCUAUGUCCAACUUACAACACUUAAUCAUGAAUAUCUAUAUCCUAUCAUUGAUGAUCACAAGGGCGAAAGAUUAGAUGGACACAAUACUUCUAAUAACAGAAGCUCUCUGAAAAAGCCAGACACAAUAAUAUCACAACCUUCAAAAAAUACUGUGAAACGUAAUGUGCGUUUACGUUGUAAGCAUUGUCAAGAACUGUAUUCGGAGCAACAUAAUCCAAAAGGUUCCUGCGAAUAUGCUCCUGAUCCAAUUAGACGUGGAAUUGCAACAAUUUCUUGUUUGUCAUGUGCCCAAUGUAUGUUAUAUCAUUGCAUGAGUGAUGCCGAAGGUGACUUUGCACAAAAUCCUUGUAGGAAUUUAUUGCAUUUUAAAAUUGUUACAAAGAUUGUCUAAAAAUCAUUAGAUCAGUCUUUUUUUAGGAGAUAUUUUUGGAUGUAACACUACUUUUUAAAUUAUACUUGUAGUACAGAAGAAGGAUGUGGACGCAGAUGGUUUGGUUUGGCCUUGUUGUCACUGAUCGUUCCUUGCUUGUGGAUAUAUCCUCCUCUUAAAGCUGUACAUUGGUGCGGGAUAUCUUGUGGAAUGUGCGGUGGACGUCAUCAUCCUAUGGAAUAGUUGGAAGAACCCUUUGAUGUCUCUGCUUCGUACUCUAUUGCUUCAGACAACUUUUCUGCAUUGUACAGUGCAGUCGCCAACGUAUAUGAAUGUCAUGAUUUGAGUAUGGGUCGUUGUCAGAGGUAUCAAAGGGGUAGACAGUUUCCAGUGCACGCACUUAUCCAUCAGAGUCAUCUUUAAGAAAAAAA
rnacentral:misc_RNA from 1 species